CUACGGGAGGCAGCAGUAGGGAAUCUUCGGCAAUGGACGAAAGUCUGACCGAGCAACGCCGCGUGAGUGAAGAAGGUUUUCGGAUCGUAAAACUCUGUUGUUAGAGAAGAACAAGGAUGAGAGUAACUGUUCAUCCCUUGACGGUAUCUAACCAGAAAGCCACGGCUAACUA
rnacentral:rRNA from 1 species